GACGAACGCUGGCGGCGUGCUUAACACAUGCAAGUCGAACGGAAAGGCCCUGCUUUUGUGGGGUGCUCGAGUGGCGAACGGGUGAGUAACACGUGAGUAACCUGCCCUUGACUUUGGGAUAACUUCAGGAAACUGGGGCUAAUACCGGAUAGGAGCUCCUGCUGCAUGGUGGGGGUUGGAAAGUUUCGGCGGUUGGGGAUGGACUCGCGGCUUAUCCGCCUGUUGGUGGGGUAGUGGCUUACCAAGGCUUUGACGGGUAGCCGGCCUGGGAGGGUGACCGGCCACAUUGGGACUGAGAUACGGCCCAGACUCGUACGGGAGGCAGCAGUGGGGAAUAUUGCACAAUGGGCGGAAGCCUGAUGCAGCAACGCCGCGUGCGGGAUGACGGCCUUCGGGUUGUAAACCGCUUUCGCCUGUGACGAAGCGUGAGUGACGGUAAUGGGUAAAGAAGCACCGGCUAACUACGUG
rnacentral:rRNA from 1 species